GUCCGAAGCGCAGAUAUCGAAAUCGGAACAAUACAGAAAGCACUAACAUGGCCCAUGUGCAAGGAUGACACGCGAAAUCGUGAGGCGUUCCACGUUUAU